rnacentral:antisense_RNA from 1 species
UGACAUAGGUUGGAGUUCUUUAGUGGUAAGGCUAUCUUGACUUAUUUAUUGCGGUUGUUUAGCCAAAACAUGAAAAUCGCAACACUGCAUC